rnacentral:rRNA from 1 species
GAUGAACGCUGGCGGCGUGCCUAAUACAUGCAAGUCGAGCGAACAGAUGAGGAGCUUGCUCCUCUGACGUUAGCGGCGGACGGGUGAGUAACACGUGGAUAACCUACCUAUAAGACUUGGAUAACUUCGGGAAACCGGAGCUAAUACCGGAUAAUAUAUUGAACCGCAUGGUUCAAUAGUGAAAGACGGUUUUGCUGUCACUUAUAGAUGGAUCCGCGCCGCAUUAGCUAGUUGGUAAGGUAACGGCUUACCAAGGCAACGAUGCGUAGCCGACCUGAGAGGGUGAUCGGCCACACUGGAACUGAGACACGGUCCAGACUCCUACGGGAGGCAGCAGUAGGGAAUCUUCCGCAAUGGGCGAAAGCCUGACGGAGCAACGCCGCGUGAGUGAUGAAGGUCUUAGGAUCGUAAAACUCUGUUAUUAGGGAAGAACAAAUGUGUAAGUAACUAUGCACGUAUUGACGGUACCUAAUCAGAAAGCCACGGCUAACUACGUG